UGCCAUUUGGGAUGCCAGCUGACAGAGAAAACAUUAUUAAAGAGAAACUCAGUUGAUGAGGAGCUCACAGAAGCCUGAAUACCGAGGAAGACAAGCAGCAACCAUUUUUAGGGAAUACCAAAACAGCAAUGGAACUUGGGGUGUUUCUCAUCAUAAUUUUCUCAGUAAUAGGCAGCCUGUGCUCUGUAACAAGCACAACCACAGAUCCUAAUAUGACAACCACAACUCCUACUACAGCAACAAAUGCCGCUCCUACUACAACAACUACAGAUCCUUCUCCAACUACAACUGCAGGUCCUACUACAACAACCAC